rnacentral:rRNA from 1 species
UACGUAGGGGGCAAGCGUUGUCCGGAUUUAUUGGGCGUAAAGAGCGUGUAGGCGGCUUUACAGGUCCGUUGUGAAAACUCGAGGCUCAACCUCGAGACGCCGGUGGAAACCGUAAAGCUAGAGUCCGGAAGAGGAGAGUGGAAUUCCUGGUGUAGCGGUGAAAUGCGCAGAUAUCAGGAGGAACACUCGUGGCGAAAGCGGCUCUCUGGGACGGUACUGACGCUGAGACGCGAAAGCGUGGGGAGCAAACAGG